rnacentral:rRNA from 1 species
GCUGGUGAGAGUGGCGAACGGGUGAGUAAUGCGUGACCAACCUGCCCCAUGCACCGGAAUAGCUCCUGGAAACGGGUGGUAAUGCCGGAUGCUCCGCACCUUCGCAUGGGGGUGUGGGAAAUGCUUUUGCGGCAUGGGAUGGGGUCGCGUCCUAUCAGCUUGUUGGCGGGGUGACGGCCCACCAAGGCGUUGACGGGUAGCCGGCCUGAGAGGGUGACCGGCCACAUUGGGACUGAGAUACGGCCCAGACUCCUACGGGAGGCAGCAGUGGGGAAUAUUGCACAAUGGGCGCAAGCCUGAUGCAGCGACGCCGCGUGCGGGAUGGAGGCCUUCGGGUUGUAAACCGCUUUUGUUCAAGGGCAAGGCGGGUCUUCGGGCCCGUUGAGUGGAUUGUUCGAAUAAGCACCGGCUAACUACGUGCCAGCAGCCGCGGUAAUACGUAGGGUGCAAGCGUUAUCCGGAUUUAUUGGGCGUAAAGGGCUCGUAGGCGGUUCGUCGCGUCCGGUGUGAAAGUCCAUCGCUUAACGGUGGAUCCGCGCCGGGUACGGGCGGGCUUGAGUGCGGUAGGGGAGACUGGAAUUCCCGGUGUAACGGUGGAAUGUGUAGAUAUCGGGAAGAACACCAAUGGCGAAGGCAGG